GUUAUAGUUUAUUUGAUGGUCUUUACUACAUGGAUAACCGUGGUAAUUCUAUGGCUAAUACAUGCGCACAUACCUCUUCCCUCGUGGAAGGGUAGUGUUUAUUAGAUACAGAACCAACCCACCUUCGGGUGGUCCCCAGGUGAUUCAUAGUAACCGAACGGAUCGCAUUAUGACCUUUUGGUCGGCGAUAGAUCAUUCAAGUUUCUGACCUAUCAGCUUUCGACGGUACUGUAUUGGA
rnacentral:rRNA from 1 species